GUGUACAAUGUACCUGCGAUUCCAGUCGAGUCGCUUGGUAUCACACGGCAACACAGGCCAUUUAUCUAUGUUCAGGAGAGAGACAAUACACGGAAAAAACACGGACGUUGCUACAGUUAGUUCCACCUGAGCGGAACGUGGAUCAUUCCGAUAAACAAGGAGCCUGAAACAGCGUACUCCGUGAGCUUGGUGUGACAUAUAACACACGACAGAGGCUGACAUCCUGGCAGUAGUGGUACGCUCUCCUGUACGGGGAGUCUGCACGCCAGCCUAUAACCACAGUUGAUACUAGAUGCUGAGGCGGGAAAUACCUGCUAUAUAUUUCGGCAUUACAUUGCUCGGCUCAACACGCGAGUUGACAUUUCUGUAGGAGCUACUGUUGGUAACCAAUCGGAAGUAUUUGUAAAUCAUUCCUGGACGCGUGUGUGAACGUAUCUAUACUACAGAGGCUGGACACACUGGAUGAUCUUUUCUCUAGGCUACACGCGUGCAAAAUAUAUAUAGUAAACACGUCCUUGUUCGAUUGCUGGUGUUGUGGAUCGCAUACGGAGUAUACAACUAAAGGGCCAUAUAUUUUGAGGAUCAGCACACGAGGAAAACUAAUAAUCGACUACGUAAUGACAGGCCGAAACCGGAAGUGCAAUAAUGGUUCGUUUCUACUCAUUAUUAUGAGCUGAGAACAGAGUGGAUGGCCGUUUCGCUGAAGCAAUUUUGAAACGACGGGCAUGGAUGUAAACAACGAUGUGUAGCCAACUAUUAACGCCAACGUGACCGUGACGCCAAGGUCACGAUGAAGGUCAAACGGGACACAUUUGAUACGGGUCAGCCGAUCUUCCAGCACCCAGAGGAUUACAGUGAAGAUCGGUAUAUGAUUCAUGAAAUGAAAAUAUUCAUCAUUCUAGUGAUCGGUUGUAUAGUGAUAAUGGCUUGUGUUCUUUACAUUAUUGUGCAGUGUAAGCGCAAGGCCGGAUAUGCAGUCAAAUUAUGCCGGAACCGGAAAGAGUCAAGCGACGUCAAAAAGCUUUUGGAUAACCAAGAAAGCGUAGAAAAUCUUUUGCAUGUGACAUCACCAAACCUUUCACGGAGUCAGAUAAACAAAGAGUUUUAUGUGUGACUUGAAGAAUUUGUGAUAUGGUGACGUCAUUUAGUACUAAUGCAUAUACCAUUAUGCAUAUAAAUGGGGUUGUGUCGAUUUUUUUGUCAAAUGAGACAAUUACUAAGUGUUUGUUAGAGUGACAACACCAAACUUGCAAAAUGUGUAGAGACUACAAAUCAAAGUUUCUUUUGGUCUUAUGAACAGAGAUAAAACGCCCCAAGGUAAUUUUCCUCUAUGCAUUUAAGGCUGGUGGUACACGUCGGUAUGUCUACCCGUCUGAACGCUCGGACUAUCACCGGGUACAUAUCUGUACAAUUGUAUAAUAGAGAACGGUUGUUGGAUGUUUCAAAUCCAUAAUGUGGCAAGUACCAAACACAGUAUCGGUGGUGUUCACUUUCGUACUAGUCUGUAAACCAGACUGGUUAAGGUGGACCUUAGUUUUUGACUUUGGUUGAUUGGAGGAUGUGCAGGAUGUGCAGACAAUUGUGUAUCAUGUGGGCACGUGCCGACGGUGUGUCCGUCUGUCCGGCAGGGAGGUCAUGUUGCUGCUGAGAAGUGACUUUCGCCUGCACCUACAAACGGUGGGGGACGCUUUAUCCAGUUAAUAUUCUUUUAAUUUUUUACUCAAGUUGAUUGUUUCUGAGCAUAAAUCUUUUGAACCUUUUUUUACUCGUGUUCGAGCACGGACAACCAAUCAGAUCCCUUAUCAUUGUCACGUGAGUGUGUGUUUUCAUACCUUUUUAUCAUAUUACUUUUAUGUAUUUUUCCUAUACAAUUCAAAAGAACUUAAAAUGUUAAUGCAAAUAAUGAAAGUUUGUGAUUUGUUUUCUAAAA